rnacentral:piRNA from 1 species
UGUUAUGUUGGGUGAUAUUGUGAAUAUAC